rnacentral:rRNA from 1 species
GAUGAACGCUGGCGGCGUGCUUAACACAUGCAAGUCGAACGAGCCUUCGGGCUAGUGGCGGACGGGUGAGUAACGCGUGGGAAUCUGCCCUCAGGAGGGGGAUAACGGCCGGAAACGGCCGCUAAUACCCCAUAUGCCGAGAGGUGAAAUGAAUUUCGCCUGGGGAUGAGCCCGCGUCUGAUUAGCUAGUUGGUGAGGUAAUGGCUCACCAAGGCUUCGAUCAGUAGCUGGUCUGAGAGGAUGAUCAGCCACACUGGGACUGAGACACGGCCCAGACUCCUACGGGAGGCAGCAGUGGGGAAUUUUCCGCAAUGGGCGCAAGCCUGACGGAGCAACGCCGCGUGAGGGACGAAGGCCUCUGGGCUGUAAACCUCUUUUCUCAAGGAAGAAGACAUGACGGUACUUGAGGAAUAAGCCACGGCUAAUUCCGUGCCAGCAGCCGCGGUAAUACGGGAGUGGCAAGCGUUAUCCGGAAUUAUUGGGCGUAAAGCGUCCGCAGGCGGCCUUGAAAGUCUGUUGUUAAAGCGUGGAGCUCAACUCCAUUUAAGCAAUGGAAACUACAAGGCUAGAGUGUGGUAGGGGCAGAGGGAAUUCCCGGUGUAGCGGUGAAAUGCGUAGAUAUCGGGAAGAACACCAGUGGCGAAGGCGCUCUGCUGGGCCAUAACUGACGCUCAUGGACGAAAGCCAGGGGAGCGAAAGGGAUUAGAUACCCCUGUAGUCCUGGCCGUAAACGAUGAACACUAGGUGUCGGGAGAAUUAACCCUUCCGGUGUCGUAGCCAACGCGUUAAGUGUUCCGCCUGGGGAGUACGCACGCAAGUGUGAAACUCAAAGGAAUUGACGGGGGCCCGCACAAGCGGUGGAGUAUGUGGUUUAAUUCGAUGCAACGCGAAGAACCUUACCAGGGUUUGACAUCCUGCGAAUCCCUUGGAAACGAGGGAGUGCCUUCGGGAACGCAGUGACAGGUGGUGCAUGGCUGUCGUCAGCUCGUGUCGUGAGAUGUUGGGUUAAGUCCCGCAACGAGCGCAACCCACGUCUUUAGUUGCCAGCAUUCAGUUGGGCACUCUAGAGAGACCGCCGGUGAUAAACCGGAGGAAGGUGUGGAUGACGUCAAGUCAUCAUGCCCCUUACAUCCUGGGCUACACACGUACUACAAUGCUACGGACAAAGGGCAGCAAACUCGCGAGAGCUAGCAAAUCCCAUAAACCGUGGCUCAGUUCAGAUCGUAGGCUGCAACUCGCCUACGUGAAGGAGGAAUCGCUAGUAAUCGCAGGUCAGCAUACUGCGGUGAAUACGUUCCCGGGCCUUGUACACACCGCCCGUCACACCAUGGAAGUUGGCCAUGCCCGAAGUCGUUACUCCAACCCGCAAGGGAGGAGGACGCCGAAGGUGGGGCUGAUGACUGGGGUGAAGUCGUAACAAGGUAGCCGUACCGGAAGGUGCGGCUGGAUCACCUCCU